rnacentral:rRNA from 1 species
AAUCCAUAGGUUAAUGAGGCGAACCGGGGGAACUGAAACAUCUAAGUACCCCGAGGAAAAGAAAUCAACCGAGAUUCCCCCAGUAGCGGCGAGCGAACGGGGAGGAGCCCAGAGCCUGAAUCAGCAUGUGUGUUAGUGGAAGCGUCUGGAAAGGCGCGCGAUACAGGGUGACAGCCCCGUACACAAAAGCGCAUGUGCUGUGAGCUCGAUGAGUAGGGCGGGACACGUGGUAUCCUGUCUGAAUAUGGGGGGACCAUCCUCCAAGGCUAAAUACUCCUGACUGACCGAUAGUGAACCAGUACCGUGAGGGAAAGGCGAAAAGAACCCCGGCGAGGGGAGUGAAAAAGAACCUGAAACCGUGUACGUACAAGCAGUGGGAGCACCCUUUUGGGUGUGAC